ACUGCUCAGUAACACGUGGAUAACCUGCCCUUGGGUCCGGCAUAACCCCGGGAAACUGGGGAUAAUUCCGGAUAACGCACAUAUGCUGGAAUGCUUUAUGCGUAAAAUGGAUUCGUCUGCCCAAGGAUGGGUCUGCGGCCUAUCAGGUAGUAGUGGGUGUAAUGUACCUACUAGCCAACAACGGGUACGGGUUGUGAGAGCAAGAGCCCGGAGAUGGAUUCUGAGACAUGAAUCCAGGCCCUACGGGGCGCAGCAGGCGCGAAAACUUUACAAUGCGGGAAACCGUGAUAAGGGGACACCGAGUGCCAGCGUCAUACGCUGGCUGUCCAGGUGUGUAAAAUACACCUGUUAGCAAGGGCCGGGCAAGACCGGUGCCAGCCGCCGCGGUAACACCGGCGGCCCGAGUGGUGAUCGUGAUUAUUGGGUCUAAAGGGUCCGUAGCCGGUUUGGUCAGUCCUCCGGGAAAUCUGAUAGCUUAACUAUUAGGCUUUCGGGGGAUACUGCCAGACUUGGAACCGGGAGAGGUAAGAGGUACUACAGGGGUAGGAGUGAAAUCUUGUAAUCCCUGUGGGACCACCUGUGGCGAAGGCGUCUUACCAGAACGGGUUCGACGGUGAGGGACGAAAGCUGGGGGCACGAACCGGAUUAGAUACCCGGGUAGUCCCAGCCGUAAACGAUGCUCGCUAGGUGUCAGGCAUGGCGCGACCGUGUCUGGUGCCGCAGGGAAGCCGUGAAGCGAGCCACCUGGGAAGUACGGCCGCAAGGCUGAAACUUAAAGGAAUUGGCGGGGGAGCACA
rnacentral:rRNA from 1 species